AUUGAACGCUGGCGGCAUGCCUUACACAUGCAAGUCGAACGGCAGCACGGAGCAAUCCUGGUGGCGAGUGGCGAACGGGUGAGUAAUACAUCGGAACGUGCCCAGUCGUGGGGAUAACGUAGCGAAAGCUACGCUAAUACCGCAUACGAUCUAUGGAUGAAAGCGGGGGAUCGCAAGACCUCGCGCGAUUGGAGCGGCCGAUAUCAGAUUAGGUAGUUGGUGAGGUAAAGGCUCACCAAGCCGACGAUCUGUAGCUGGUCUGAGAGGACGACCAGCCACACUGGGACUGAGACACGGCCCAGACUCCUACGGAGGCAGCAGU
rnacentral:rRNA from 1 species